AAUCUCUUAAAGCCGUUCUCAGUUCGGAUUGUAGGCUGCAACUCGCCUACAUGAAGUCGGAAUCGCUAGUAAUCGCGGAUCAGCAUGCCGCGGUGAAUACGUUCCCGGGCCUUGUACACACCGCCCGUCACACCAUGAGAGUUUGUAACACCCAAAGCCGGUGGGGUAACCUUUUGGAGCCAGCCGUCUAAGGUGGGACAGAUGAUUAGGGUGAAGUCGUAACAAGGUAGC
rnacentral:rRNA from 1 species